rfam:Triticum aestivum genome assembly, contig: Triticum_aestivum_CS42_TGACv1_scaffold_063742_1DL
UUUCUACUCCCUCCGUUCGGAAUUACUUGUCGCAGAAAUGGACGUAUCUAGACGUAUUUUAGUUCUAGAUACAUCCAUUUCCGAGACAAGUAAUUCCGAACGGAGGGAGUAUAUG